CCACUUGUUAAGCCUACGCAGCUCAGAACUGCAGCAGGAGGAAGAGGGACUUGAUGAGUGGGAAUGGGUCUUUAUUAUUGGUAUAUAGAGGGCAUUUUGGAAAAGGACAUCACUAGGAUCAGAGAAUCCAGCACAUCUGGAGAGGUUUGCCAAAGUCUAAUGCAUUGGACUAAUUAAUGCCUUUCAGAAAACCGAGAUGUAUUUGUAUUUUUUAAGAUGGCUGGAGAAGGAGAGGAAAGGUGUCCCUGUGAGAAGAUGAAGAGUACCAAGCUGUGACUGCCAACAUACUUUGAAUGAAGAAAUUGCAAGUUGCUUAAAAGGAACAUUUUGGGAAAGUGAACUUAAAAAGGCUACAUGAUUAAUUCUGCUUUCAACAUCGGAUGUGAAAGCCUGCUUAGGAACCCCCUGCGUGGAAUGGCAGCAGAGAAGAACAAGAAGUGCCUGGUUUGUGUCAGGAGGAACAGGCUGUGCUGUUUCCAGUGCUCUCCUCAGCCUCCCACAGCCACAGAGUCCUUAACAGCAGUCAUUAAACUUCCUAACGUAGACCAGCAUGAGGCCUUGUACUGGGAGAUAGUCCUUGAAGUCCAGCUAAAAUCUUUCUCCUCUUAGUCAUGGUCGUUCCUCAGAGCCACACAGUACCUUCAGAAAAUAUGAACAGAAGCAGAGUUGCUCUGCAAGGGAGUCACUACUGCUGGAAGCAUUAACAGCUUUAAUGAGGAAAGCAGGGCAGGUCUGAGGGUUUGUAGUUACUGCUCUGCACAGAUCCAGGUGAGAUGUACGCUGGCUUAAAUGGGCAUUUGGAGAAUUACUAAGGUAGGUGUGACAGCAGUGAACCAAAAUUGUUCAUUAUGGGGAGGGUAGGUGGAAGGAAAACCAGUUUAGAUGUGAUGUUACCAACACUUUUCCUUUAUUCCCAGAAAAAAAGACCUGUCAGUGACUCUCUUCCGCAUUGUCUCCUGAGAUAGAAGACUUCCCAAGGUGUGUGUAGAUUGAAACCAAACACAAAAACCUCCUACUCCAGGUGCUGUUCUCCAACAAAGAAUUACUCAUCCCAGUAAGGAUUUGUCAUUGAGAUGCCUUGUAGUUUAUUAAUUUUUUCCAAAGAAAGGGUGAGGUCAUUCUUUUUAUUUUAAA